GACGAACGCUGGCGGCGUGCUUAACACAUGCAAGUCGAGCGGUAAGGCCCUUUCGGGGGUACACGAGCGGCGAACGGGUGAGUAACACGUGGGUGACCUGCCCUCAGCUCUGGGGAUAAGCCUGGGAAACCGGGUCUAAUACCGGAUAUGACUCCAUGACGCAUGUUGUGGGGUGGAAAGCCUUGUGCGGCUGAGGAUGGGCCCGCGGCCUAUCAGCUUGUUGGUGGGGUGANGGCCUACCAAGGCGACGACGGGUAGCCGGCCUGAGAGGGCGACCGGCCACACUGGGACUGAGACACGGCCCAGACUCCUACGGGAGGCAGCAGUGGGGAAUCUUGCGCAAUGGGCGAAAGCCUGAACGCAGCGACGCCGCGUGAGGGAU
rnacentral:rRNA from 1 species